AGCUUUGUGCAGUGGUGGUAUCACAGCCAAUGAGGUUUAUCCAAGACAUGAUCAUUGCUAAUAGAAAACUAUUUGUGUUUUGUUGAAUAUUGAUGUCAUGUAACUUCUUUUCUUGUGUGGCUUUUUCUUUUGAUAAAAAGAAAACAUU